rnacentral:rRNA from 1 species
UACGUAGGGUGCAAGCGUUGUCCGGAAUUAUUGGGCGUAAAGAGCUCGUAGGCGGUUUGUCGCGUCUGCUGUGAAAACCCGAGGCUCAACCUCGGGCCUGCAGUGGGUACGGGCAGACUAGAGUGCGGUAGGGGAGAUUGGAAUUCCUGGUGUAGCGGUGAAAUGCGCAGAUAUCAGGAGGAACACCGAUGGCGAAGGCAGGUCUCUGGGCAUUAACUGACGCUGAGGAGCGAAAGCGUGGGGAGCGAACAGG